AAGUCAACUUGAAUUUGGGUUUUUAACUUAGAUUUAGGUGGCGGACGGGUGAGUAACGCGUAAAGAACUUGCCUCACAGCUAGGGACAACAUUUAGAAAUGAAUGCUAAUACCUGAUAUUAUGAUUUUAAGGCAUCUUAGAAUUAUGAAAGCUAUAAGCACUGUGAGAGAGCUUUGCGUCCCAUUAGCUAGUUGGAGAGGUAACAGCUCACCAAGGCGAUGAUGGGUAGCCGGUCUGAGAGGGUGAACGGCCACAAGGGGACUGAGACACGGCCCUUACUCCUACGGGAGGCAGCAGUGGGGAAUAUUGGACAAUGGACCGAGAGUCUGAUCCAGCAAUUCUGUGUGCACGAUGAAGUUUUUCGGAAUGUAAAGUGCUUUCAGUUGGGAAGAAAAAAAUGACGGUACCAACAGAAGAAGUGACGGCUAAAUACGUGCCAGCAGCCGCGGUAAUACGUAUGUCACGAGCGUUAUCCGGAUUUAUUGGGCGUAAAGCGCGUCUAGGUGGUUAUGUAAGUCUGAUGUGAAAAUGCAGGGCUCAACUCUGUAUUGCGUUGGAAACUGUAUAACUAGAGUACUGGAGAGGUAAGCGGAACUACAAGUGUAGAGGUGAAAUUCGUAGAUAUUUGUAGGAAUGCCGAUGGGGAAGCCAGCUUACUGGACAGAUACUGACGCUAAAGCGCGAAAGCGUG
rnacentral:rRNA from 1 species